rnacentral:tRNA from 1 species
GGUCUUUUCGUCUAGUUCGGUGAGGACGUUAGCUUUUCAUGUUAAAAACAUGGGUUCAAAUCCCAUAAAGAUCA